rnacentral:tRNA from 1 species
GGUAAAGUGGCUGAGUUUUAGGCGGUAGAUUGUAAAUCUACAUAUGAGAUUUUUAUCUUCUUUAUCA